rnacentral:rRNA from 1 species
AGCAGCCGCGGUAAUUCCAGCUCCAAUAGCGUAUAUUAAAGUUGCUGCAGUUAAAAAGCUCGUAGUUGAAUUUCGGGACUAAUAUGUCGGUCGUGCCUCGGUACGUACUGGCUUAUUGGUUUCUCCUUUCUGAAGAACCAUGAUGUCAUUUAUUUGGUGUCGUGGGGAAUCAGGACUGUUACUUUGAAAAAUUGAGUGUUUAAAGCAGGCUCACGCUUGAAUACAUUAGCAUGGAAUAAUGAAAUAGGACGUUUGAUUCUAUUUUGUUGGUUUCUAGGAUCGACGUAAUGAUUAAUAGGGAUAGUUGGGGGCAUUAGUAUUCAAUUGUCAGAGGUGAAAUUCUUGGAUUUAUUGAAGACUAACUACUGCGAAAGCAUUUGCCAAGGAUGUUU